CCUACGGGGGGCAGCAGUGAGGAAUAUUGGUCAAUGGACGAGAGCCUGAACCAGCCAAGUAGCGUGAAGGAUGACUGCCCUAUGGGUUGUAAACUUCUUUUAUAAAGGAAUAAAACGAGGCACGUAUGCAUCUUUGCAUGUACUUUAUGAAUAAGGAUCGGCUAACUCCGUGCCAGCAGCCGCGGUAAUACGGAGGAUCCGAGCGUUAUCCGGAUUUAUUGGGUUUAAAGGGAGCGUAGAUGGGUUGUUAAGUCAGUUGUGAAAGUUUGCGGAUCAACCGUAAAAUUGCAAUUGAUACUGGCAGUCUUGAGUACAGUUGAGGUAGGCGGAAUUCGUGGUGUAGCGGUGAAAUGCUUAGAUAUCACGAAGAACCCCGAUUGCGAAGGCAGCUUACUAAACUGUGACUGACAUUGAUGCUCGAAAGUGUGGGUAUCAAACAGGAUUAGAUACCCCAGUAGUC
rnacentral:rRNA from 1 species